UCGUUCUUGUAUGAGGAGCCCCACUGAAAUGAAUUGCCUCCCAUUUGUAUCUUUCAGACUUCAACUUCCAGCCAUUACAGCAUGGUGUUCUUCUGCUACUUGACUAAGGAGUAGAGCUGGUGAGCCCAAAAUAUUGCCCCAGAGCCCAAACUGAGUAACUUGGUGCCAUGGAAGAAGAUCUUCCUUCCAGACAGAGCUCCUCUUUGGCUGACAGUUCAGCCCCAGGGCUGGAGUACCCUUUGUGAAACUAAUGCCUCCAGCCCAAUACAAACACCCAGCAAGAAGGACUGGAAAAUCAAUGUAGUUGUGAAUCCUCUCACCUCACUCCCAAAGGGAAAUUUUGCAUGAACAGACAAGGAACUCAUGUGGAAUAUGCAUAGAAUCUGCAAAAUGCAGGGAAUGAAUGAUACCUGCCGGGUACCCAGAAUCCUAUCCCUAUCUCCUACCACUUUCCAGAAAGAAGAAUCACAGCUGUUCAUAUUGUGAAUUACAUUCUGUUCUUCAUUCAUGGAGGCUGGAGAAGGAUUUUUGUUCAGUGGUGAACACUGUAGCUAUAUCGAAAAAAAUAAUCAUAUAAAGAUGUAUACCUCCUAUAAGGUGAACAAUGUCUGGAAUGUUGUCAGCCAGCC